UAGCGUUUGCGAAUUCCACGAACAGUAGUUAACCUCUUAGCCAUUAUAAUGUCAUCUUUUUGAAAGACGAUGAAGAAUCUAUUAAUUCUCGCACUGUAAGUGCUGCUAUUUUGGCUCCGUGAAUGGAAUUGAUAGGGUUGAUAGCACGGUAGCGAACUCCCCGAACACAUGCUUUGAUAGUGCAUCAAGGACAAAGUUUCCAUCUAUUGACUUACGAAAAAUUUAGAAAUCAUAUCUUUUAUCAGCUAUGAGUAAAAUCGACCACGCUCUUACUUGACAGAGAAUCGCAGCGGCCGAAGGAUGCAAUCUGGUGUCCUGCUGAAGAUGUAGAGGAUGCGUCUGAAUUCUCCACAUUACGCAUCGAAUCUGAUAUUUUCGCCUAAUCCUAUGCCAUAUAAACGGCGCCUUCGGAAACCGAUAAACGACACGUCCAUCAUCUCCGGAGUUGCGUUCAUUGAGAAUACGUUUCCUUUCAAUAUAAUGACAGUCUAGCGAUCUUAACGUUUAUCCGUCGUGACAUCUUACAUCUUCUUGAUUUGAAAAAGAAAGAGCGCAUAUAUCACUAUGAUAUCUCGUACUUACAAAAUAAUAAUAGAAUUAAUAGAAGAUAAUUUUACAGAGGCUUACAGAGGGUUACACAUGAGCGAGCGUAGCACAAAUAACUUCAUUGCGAAUCAGCUGUGUCUCGUGAAAAAUGAUGGAUACAAAUCAGAAAAUAUUAAUUGAAAUCCAUUUCGUUGGCUUCAAUAAAUGUGCUAUGUAUCUCGAAUAAAUACACUCACCCGCACAAAAACAAAUAACGUCAAUUGUCGAUGAAAGAUCAGCGUAUUUGGAAUAAAACUCUACCAGUCAGUGGACAGAGAGCAACUGAGCGACCUUUGCCCCUGGUUAUUUCAGCCCUUCACACCCCCACUCUUGGGCUUGAUCGCGCUUCUGCAAAAUCUUGAAUAUAUUGUAUUGUUUUAUCUGACGUUUAUGGAGAAGUAAAACAUAGAAUAUCCAUUGCUUAGCUUUCUUUAUUCGAUUCAAGAUAUUAAAGAAGAUUUAAAAUCUUUUUGUGCAUUUCUAAGGAAAAAAAGGCUCUAGUAAAACUCUCGAUUAUAUUGAUUUUAUAGAUGUCGAUACUUAUAAUUAUGUUAUAUUAAUUUUAA